GCAAAACAAUCGAUGAUUACCCAAACCAAGAUUAGGAUACGAUAUUCAAUAAAGGGAUUUGGAUCAAAGUAGAUGGUCUUGAUAGUUGGAUAAGCUGGAUACAGUGAUAAUCAUUGACAAGGUAUGGGAAUUUCUGGUAUCGGAGCAAAUGGAAUAAAGCAUUUCAGAUCUUUUUCGUGGGAAACGAACCUCCUCAUGGUAAACAAAGCAGUCAGUAUAUAAACAAACAACGGAAAUUGAAAGUAAACUGUUGUGUUCAACCAAUAUCCAGUAACAUCACCAAGAUAAGUAUUGAUCAUCAAAUUCGGGUUAACCAUUGUAAACGCUCUUUUAACUAAAACAAGUGUCAAUAUUGUCAGGAUGGUCAGCCUUUUCAAUGAUGUUUUUUCAGAAGACGGUUUAUUUGAUGGUGCUGAUGGAUUAGUAAGGGUUUCCAAUGACACACCCUUGUUAGCAGCAUCCCGAACUUUGUCAAUCAAACUGUUGUCAAUCAAACCAAAUAGUUUUAACCAAAGUUCAUACGGAACCUUUCCACAUGGCUGAUCUUGUAAAUCAUCUUUAUCACCAAGACUUCGCCUUCCUUCGAAUUGCUGCAUCCUGGACCCUUUCAGGAUAAACAAAUUCACAAAUUAGAUGACUUGCUUGGACACUUUAAUCUUGAGCUGAGACUGAGACUGAUUCUGAACGUUUUUUGCUACUUUUAAUCACUCUCACUCUAUUUUGCUGUUCAUUUGUUUACCUUUUCGUGCACCCAUUUGUAAUCGUUAUUGUUGCCAGUUGAUGGCCAUAAUUUGAUCGAUUAAUUUCGCGCAAAACGAAAUGUGUAUCAAUCACGAGAUUAUUUCCAUUAGAUGACAGUCAUUUCUUAAUUUUACCAUACAUCAUGUUCAGUCUGUCAAAUUUACAUCCAGAGCCAAGCUGAAGCUCACUGUAAGUUUAUGAUAAUUGAUGUUUAUUUCAAUAAUUAAUGUAAAAACAGGAAGAUCAAUUGAUUUAUCUACUUAUGGUUUAUAUGGUCCAAUAUCAACUAAUGAUAGAUAAUGAAUCUUCCCUAUUACCUUGAAUUCGCAUCGAUUCUGCUCUUCUUUCCUAGAAUUGUAAUUAUCACCUUUUAAUGGCUCUAUUUUUCUUUUCAUUAGAUAAUCAAUUAGUAGGUAAUCACCAAAGUUCUGUAUAAAGAAGACAAAAUUGCUGAAAAACAUUUAUUACUAU